rnacentral:rRNA from 1 species
GAGUUUGAUCCUGGCUCAGAUUGAACGCUGGCGGCAUGCCUUACACAUGCAAGUCGAACGGCAGCAUGAUCUAGCUUGCUAGAUUGAUGGCGAGUGGCGAACGGGUGAGUAAUACAUCGGAACGUGCCCUGUAGUGGGGGAUAACUAGUCGAAAGAUUAGCUAAUACCGCAUACGACCUGAGGGUGAAAGUGGGGGACCGCAAGGCCUCAUGCUAUAGGAGCGGCCGAUGUCUGAUUAGCUAGUUGGUGGGGUAAAGGCCCACCAAGGCGACGAUCAGUAGCUGGUCUGAGAGGACGAUCAGCCACACUGGGACUGAGACACGGCCCAGACUCCUACGGGAGGCAGCAGUGGGGAAUUUUGGACAAUGGGCGAAAGCCUGAUCCAGCAAUGCCGCGUGUGUGAAGAAGGCC